rnacentral:rRNA from 1 species
UACGGGGUGCAGCAGGCGCGCAAACUUUACAAUGCGAGCAAUCGUGAUAAGGAAACCCUGAGUGCCUGUCGAUGCAGGCUGUUCAUAUAUCUAAAUCAUAUGUGAAGAAAGGGCAGGGCAAGACCGGUGCCAGCCGCCGCGGUAAUACCGGCUGCUCGAGUGAUGGCCACUAUUACUGGGUUUAAAGCGUCCGUAGCUUGACUGUUAGGUCUCUUGGGAAAUCUUCACGCUCAACGUGAAGGCGUCUAAGAGAUACCGGCAGUCUUGGAACUGGGAGAGGUAAACCGUACUUCGGGGGUAGGAGUGAAAUCUUGUAAUCCUCGAGGGACGACCUAUGGCGAAGGCAGUUUACCAGAACAGCUUCGACAGUGAGGGACGAAAGCUGGGGGAGCAAACGGGAUUAGAUACCCCGGUAGUCCCAGCCGUAAACAAUGUGCGUUAGGUGUGUCGGUAACCACGUGUUACUGAUGCGCCGAAGAGAAAUCGUGAAACGCACCACCUGGGAAGUACGGUCGCAAGGCUGAAACUUAAAGGAAUUGGCGGGGGAGCACCACAACAGGUGGAGCCUGCGGUUUAAUUGGAUUCAACGCCGGACAUCUCACCGGAUAAGACAGCUGAAUGAUUGUCAAUCUGAAGGUUUUACAUGACUAGCUGAGAGGAGGUGCAUGG